rnacentral:tRNA from 1 species
GGGUGUGAUUACAGUUGUGCUCUGCAAAGGCAUGGUAGAUCUUUGGUGGUCCACAUCUU